AUGCACUCAAAAACGUGUUCCAAGAAGCAGCCUGAAGGAGACACUGCUGAAUUUUCCUCACUUUGUGAGAAAACAGAUUUUCUAGAAGUACCAAGCAAGGGGAAGGUCCCUGCCCCCAACAGCUCUUUCCAGAGCAGCCUGGAAUUUGGAGGGGAGCCAAAGAGGAUGGCGGUUUCUGGCCACUUGAGGGCACUCUGGAAUUCUGAGACCAGCAGGGAGCUGAUGCGUUGGGUUCUUUUUUCUUUCUUUUUUUUUUUUUUAAACGCAAUCUCAGUUAACCAUCAGCAGACAAUCUGGAAAUUAAUCCUCAAAAAGGGAGCGGCGACAAAUGGGUUUUAUAAUGAGGACUUGAAGCCAGGCAGAGCAGAGGGCAGGCACGGCAGAGGUAAAGCAAAGGACCGCAAGUUUUACAGCAGGUGCUGUCCUUGCUUCCAUCCACUGAACCAGGAGAGGAGGCCGUGGUACAGCCAGCAAGCCCAACUAUGUCAGCAUCCCUGAGAAACUGUCUAAGGAGAUCUCAGAAGAAAGGGAUUGGCAACUCGAAGACUCUAGAGUCUGUCCCAUCUAUGAACUAUGAAAGGUAGAGAGAAGACAAUUUUUUCCUCCCCUACAGAUACAAUACUGUCCGCUUCCAAGGGGGACUUAUUGGCAUUAUUGUCAGUUACCUACAAGAGAGUUUUGAAAGAGCUCAUUAAAGACAAUGAAAAGGACAGACCCCAGUGGUACCACUUCCAAGCUGUGCAGUGCUGGACAAUAUAGUAAACUGUGAUCUGGGCAAUAUGAAUAGAAACUGUGCUGAUAAAUUUGUGAAGAUUCAAUCAGUGAAUGCCUGUGAAAUGCUCAGCACCAGGUAGGUCUGGAGUUCAGUGCAUGCUUGCUUGGUAGUGGUUGCUGAUGUUCCACUCUACUGUCACCAUGCUGGGUAUUUUCCAUCAUCUCACUCUAUUCUCUGCCAUUCUCCACCAUGCUCUGUGGCUCAGGAGGCACCUUUCCUGCGGUUUCUGGUUGGGUUUUACCAGUUCAUUCUCCCCCUCUGCAAUUGCCUGGGACUGGUGGCAUCCCUCAAAGGUCACAGCUCCUCCUGGGAAGCCCAUGCCACCUCCAGGUCCCUAUAACUAUCCUUUUCUGUCCCUUGAAGGCCUCGGGGUGAUAAUAGCUCUCUAUUACGAGCCCUGGGUUUUUGCAUCUCCACUAUGGUGUCCCAUACCCUGCCCACCUUUACUAAACACACCUCCAAUUACCCACACUGAGAGCACCAUCUAUGUCCUGGCAGGACCUUGACUGGGGCAGCCACCAGCUUUUUUUUUUUUUGAGAUGGGGUCUAGCUCUGUGGCCCAGGCUGGAGUGCAGUGGUGUGAUCUUGGCUCACUGCAAACUUUGCCUCCUGGGUUCAAGUGAUUCUCCUGCCUCAGCCUCCCAAGAAGCUAGUCAGCAGCAUUUUGAACACUGCACUGUGUCCAUUUCUGUUCCUUAAGUGAGUGAUGCCGAUACUCCUCUUGAGUCUCAUGAAAUCCGAAAGCUGGAUCCUUUGCUCCUGUUUUAUCUUAGAUGUAACUUCUCCGCAAUGCUUGCAACACAGGUAGGGAAUGCCACCAAAGUCCCACACCAGAAGGGAGCAUUCCUUUUUGUGACUGAUCCCAAACACACAUACGAGAAAAAGAAGAGUGAAGAGAUGAAGGGUCCAUACAAAGAUGAGUUUAUGUAAACAGACUUUACUAAAAUAAUCCUUAUCUUCCAUUAGUUCCCCCAUAUGCAUUCUAGUUACUGCCCCAUAAUUUGUGAUCCCUGGAAACCAAAUCCUCUUGUCUUUGUUAAAAGGGUAUAUAGGCCCUCAAGUCUAACUGGUUGAGUUUCAUUUCUUUUCUGUAAACUCACAUGCAGAUAAAUAUGAGUAAAAAUUGUGUGCUUUUUCUUCUGUCAAUUUGUCUUUUUGUCAUUUUAAUUCACAGGCCCCCAGUUAUAUCACCUAAGAGGGUAGGGGAAAAGAUUUUCCUCUCCAAUACCAGUGUCCCUGCUUCAUCUCAAAGAAAAGAUGAUGGGCUUUACAAUGGGUCAUUUAGAAGAGAUUUAAGUCCUGUACUUUUUUCAGGAAGGAGCAUCUUCAAAUCUUACAAAUCUCUCUCUUACUAACUGUGUACCACUCAUGUGUCAUCAUGAAAACAUUACCAGGUUACUGAAAAAUCUAAAUUCAGUAAAGAUACAAACAACUGUUUCAUUUCUUUAAUUACUGACUUUAAUUGUGUUAUGUCUACUCUCCCUUAACCAGAGUUCAGCACAUACCCUAGAUUUCCAGUCAUUUUGGGGUUUUAAGAGUCCAGUCCAGGCUAAUUUAAAGUUUGGAGAUUCAAUCUCAUAUCCCAAUUUAACUCUCAUCUCCCAAACCCCAAAGCACACCUGGUUUUGACCCAAAGCAUCUUGAGGAGGAAGGGAUGUGGUCUGCUUUUUAGCUCUUCCUCCUCUAGUGCUUCAAGGGUUGAGGAGCAGGCUGGGGAAAUGAGGACAAAUGCCUCUCAACAGGUGUUAUUAUUUAUUUUUGAGACUUUCCUGGCCUCCCUGGCAGUGGCUUCUGCUGGGCUGGCAGCCAACACCUGCCUUCUCAUGGGGCAGAUAACUAAGUUAUAUAAAAGGCCCUGGGAGGGAAGCUUUCCCUGCCCUGAGACAUACAUUCUGGCUAGACAUAUGCCAAAUGCCUCCAGGAUAGAUAGAGAUAGCUGUGGAAUCUGUUACUCUUUCCAUAGAGAGGAGGAGGAGUCUCUUUCCCCUCCCGUUGAAAGUGGGCUCACCUUAGUGCUUGCUUAGUACUUGCUUGAAUGCAACUGAAGGGACAGUCUCAAACUUCUGAUGCUAGAUCAUAAGAAACCUUGCAGCUGCCAUCAGGGCUUCUUGGACAGCUGAGCCACCAUAUAAGAAAUCUGACUGCCAUACUGGGAAGGCAAUUGUAGGUGUGUCAAUCAAUAGUCCCUGCUGAACCCAGCCUUCCAGUCAAGGCAACAGACCAGCCCUUCUACCAGGCGCACACCACCAGAGGCCCUCACCUGAUUCUGUGUGGAGCAGAAGAAUUCUCAGCAGAGCCCUGCCUGAAUUCUUGAUCCACAAAAUUAUGACAUACAAUAAAAUGGCUGGUGUUUUAAGCUGCUCA
rnacentral:lncRNA from 13 species